rnacentral:rRNA from 1 species
AGUGAACGCUGGCGGUAGGCCUAACACAUGCAAGUCGAACGGCAGCACAGUAAGAGCUUGCUCUUACGGGUGGCGAGUGGCGGACGGGUGAGGAAUACAUCGGAAUCUACUUUUUCGUGGGGGAUAACGUAGGGAAACUUACGCUAAUACCGCAUACGACCUACGGGUGAAAGCAGGGGAUCUUCGGACCUUGCGCGAUUGAAUGAGCCGAUGUCGGAUUAGCUAGUUGGCGGGGUAAAGGCCCACCAAGGCGACGAUCCGUAGCUGGUCUGAGAGGAUGGUCAGCGACACUGGAACUGAGACACGGUCCAGACUCCUACGGGAGGCAGCAGUGUGGAAUAUUGGACAAUGGGCGCAAGCCUUAUCCAGCCAUACCGCGUGGGUGAAGAAGGCCUUCGGGUUGUAAAGCCCUUUUGUUGGGAAAGAAAAGCAGCAGGUUAAUACCCCGCUGUUCUGACGGUACCCAAAGAAUAAGCACCGGCUAACUUCGUG